rnacentral:rRNA from 1 species
GGGUGAGUAACGCGUGGGUAACCUACCUUUGAAUCUGGAAUAACCAGCCGAAAGGCUGACUAAUACCGGAUAUGGUUUUUAGGACUUAGGUUCUCUAAAUUAAAGGUGACCUCUUCAUGAAAGUUGCCGUUCAUAGAUGGGCCCGCGUACCAUUAGCUAGUUGGUGGGGUAAUGGCCUACCAAGGCGACGAUGGUUAGCUGGUCUGAGAGGAUGAUCAGCCACACUGGAACUGGAACACGGUCCAGACUCC